rnacentral:rRNA from 1 species
AACGUAGGACACAAGCGUUAUCCGGAAUUAUUGGGCGUAAAGAGCGCGUAGGCGGUCUGAUAAGUCGGUUGUGAAAGUCGGGGGCUCAACCCUCGGAUGCCGAUCGAUACUGUCAGGCUAGAGUCCGGAAGAGGCGAGUGGAAUUCCUGGUGUAGCGGUGAAAUGCGCAGAUAUCAGGAAGAACACCCGUGGCGAAGGCGGCUCUCUGGGACGGUACUGACGCUGAGACGCGAAAGCGUGGGGAGCGAACAGG